GUCCACUCAUCUGACUGCAAAUUCAAAUAAUAUAAAGUUUAAUAAUCCAGUUGGAAUUGGAGUUUUUCCUUAGCUUCAGAGUAUAGGGCCAGGCCCUAGAGGCUGGGGCAGAGGGUUUUCCCACUUCCGUCUCCUCUAUAUCAGUCCAGUUUUGUAUACUUCAGAAUCUUAGCAGUAGAUAGAAAGCAAACAAGAACAGGUCUAAUCUUCAGAAGUGACUGGGCCUGAAUCUUCCAGUUGAACCAAGAAGAGCAUGCCACUCCUGACUGGGCUGACCAUGCUCCUUCCUCCUCCAACACCCGGAAGCCAGUCCCACAUGGCAAGAAGGAAGUGCUAGUCACAAGACCCAACUGCCACUCCCAGUUGGGCCCUUCCCCCACAAACUGUCAGUCUUGUUUCCUUUCCACAAUAUAAAAGAUGUACAUAUACAUGGAACAUAUAUUCAAUUUCCUUUGAGUUGCCCUGGAUUUCACUAAGAAAGCUCCAUAAUAUUCUGGAGAUUGGUAACUACAUGCAGAUACAGAAUCAUCCAUAAACAGGAACAUCUAAAGGUAUUCACUAUCAACUGGGAAUCAUUCCAUCAGCUAUAAGCAUUUGUGUCUACAAUGCCAAUUCCUGGAACUAUGGACUUGGACUUUGUAAGAGGAAUAAUUCUACAGGAGACAGCCCUAAAGUUUACAAUGGAAGGCUCAGCACUCAAUCGACUGUGAGAGCAGCUCUCUGUACAUUGAAAAGCACCAAAGCUUAGUGGGAAGUUCAUGAAGAUAAUACAAAGCCUGAAAGGGUAGCCAUCAUCUGCCAAUAUGAGUACAAGUUGGGGGAAUAAGCCUCCAAGGUAUAUUACACUGGUUUUAAGAAAACUGUACAUCCAUGGAAAUUUGGAGGAAAACACUUGACUAAUUCAGGAAAAUUCACAAAAUAAUGUUUACAUAUGUUAUUUCAUUUUGUAUUUUUGUAUUAUUUUAUAUUUU
rnacentral:lncRNA from 1 species